CAUUGGGAGAGGUAGUUUCAACCAUUGUUUCAUAGUCUUUUUGCUUAUGUGGCUAUCUUGAAAACAUCAAUAUGAAACUCUCUAUCGGGAUUGGCCUAAAACCGAUAAAAUUAGAUCAGGCAGCGCAGAAUAUUCUAAUCAAACAAAGUAAAUUGCCUGUGCUGUAGCUGAAGCUGACGAGGAAUAAUUAUUCAAGCGGAUAUGUGUAGUAACACGGCGAUGCAACUUUAAUACAAAUAAAUUUGGUUGGCAUUGGGAAUCAAUGCGGCCGGUCAUUAGUAGGGUAUCUAUAAAACAUAUAUAGUUGAUCCCCACUAAACAUCAUUAACUUUGAUUUUCUUGCAACCACAUAAAGCCACAUCAUCACUUUUGUAUCAACCGUUAGAUCUUCCGUAGAUAUCUAGAUCCUGGCCGUACAUUGUGUCGCCACAUCACCCACAUUUAAUUAAUCAUGAAAUGCUCUCUCUCCCCACUACUGAGUCUGUUCCCAUUCCUACUCCUUGCAAUUAAUCUUUACUCAGCACCUUGGUAGAUCAAGAGCCUCCCCUCUUCUUUAUUUAGCACCUUGACAGAUCAAGAGACCACCACAGCUAAUGGCAGCAUUAGUCCUCCAUCAAUCAUCCACGUUCCCACUCCUUCGUGCCUUGACGUGCUCCUACCUACCAACAAUUAAAGGGGCACAAAAAUUCUCUCCUUCCCACUCACGUCAUUUAGGUGCCUUUCAUGGAGAACGAAUCAAAUAGUCAGCCACCACGUCUCUCCAUCUUCUCAUCCAUUCCAAUUUUAAUCAUAAUAGUGUAUAAUUACCGAUGUUCUGUUCUCCUAGCACAUGCGUCUAAGAUCAACCUCUGGACCCUUUCACUAUUCUCCAAUUCUCCAAUGGACUUGAUGAUGGAAUUCAUGUAUGCUCACUUGGUAGAUUCAGCAAGCGCGCAGGAGCACCAAGUUUCCUGCCAUGGCCACAUCACAACGUACUUGAUCUACUGCAUUGAGCUACAUGAAAAAAUCAUUGUUUGUCUGGAAUUCAUAUUUUCUGAAUCGGCAAGUUGUAUCUCUAGAGCACGAGAACUAGCUCUCCUUUUCUAGACCAUGCUGAAGAACCAGAAGAAGGUAGCAUUACAUAAAGUUAGGAAUUUCAAAUGCUAGCAUUUAAUGGGCCUUUUACUUAUUUUUUCUUUACAUCCAGUGACUAGUUUAUUAGCAUGUCUCUCUACAGUGAACAACUUUAAGGUUCCACCUGAAUUCUAUUUAUUUUGUCACUAAUAAUUUUCUUUCUAUGUUCCACAUAUAUAUUAGUAAAUAGAUCCA